rnacentral:rRNA from 1 species
GAUGAACGCUGGCGGCGUGCUUAACACGUGCAAGUCGAACGAUGAAGCCCAGCUUGCUGGGUGGAUUAGUGGCGAACGGGUGAGUAACACGUGAGUAACCUGCCCUUAACUCUGGGAUAAGCCUGGGAAACUGGGUCUAAUACCGGAUAGGAGCGCCUACCGCAUGGUGGGUGUUGGAAAGAUUUAUCGGUUUUGGAUGGACUCGCGGCCUGUCAGCUUGUUGGUGAGGUAAUGGCUCACCAAGGCGACGACGGGUAGCCGGCCUGAGAGGGUGACCGGCCACACGGGGACUGAGACACGGCCCAGACGCCUACGGGAGGCAGCAGUGGGGAAUAUUGCACAAUGGGCGAAAGCCUGAUGCAGCGACGCCGCGUGAGGGAUGACGGCCUUCGGGUUGUAAACCUCUUUCAGUAGGGAAGAAGCGAAAGUGACGGUACCUGCAGAAGAAGCACCGGCUAACUACGUGCCAGCAGCCGCCGUAA